AUUGAACGCUGGCGGCAGGCCUAACACAUGCCAGUCGAGCGGAUGAAGGGAGCUUGCUCCUGGAUUCAGCGGCGGACGGGUGAGUAAUGCCCAGGAAUCUGCCUGGUAGUGGGGGAUAACGUCCGGAAACGGGCGCUAAUACCGCAUACGUCCUGAGGGAGAAAGUGGGGGAUCUUCGGACCUCACGCUAUCAGAUGAGCCUAGGUCGGAUUAGCUAGUUGGUGGGGUAAAGGCCUACCAAGGCGACGAUCCGUAACUGGUCUGAGAGGAUGAUCAGUCACACUGGAACUGAGACACGGUCCAGACUCCUACGGGAGGCAGCAGUGGGGAAUAUUGGACAAUGGGCGAAAGCCUGAUCCAGCCAUGCCGCGUGUGUGAAGAAGGUCUUCGGAUUGUAAAGCACUUUAAGUUGGGAGGAAGGGCAGUAAGUUAAUACCUUGCUGCUUUGACGUUACCAACAGAAUAAGCACCGGCUAACUUCGUG
rnacentral:rRNA from 1 species